AGCCAUGAGAGGUUAUUUGCCCCAAAUUCAGGGAAACAGACCAGAGCUGUAGCCUAGGACUUGGCUGUGCUGUGCUGGUUCCCACUGCUGGCUUCCUGCCACUGUUGACCAGCACUGUUGGGCCAGGAUCGGAAGUGGCAGAAUCAGGGUGAGAGUCUGUGGCUCUCCAGGCUUCCCCUCAGGUUCCUUCCUUACACUAUUGCUUGUCUUCCCGUCUCCCCCCACCAUGCACCCAGAGCUCUUCCACACCUGCCCUGCCCAGCCUGUCCUCCUUAUUGACCUCUCCAGGGGCUAGUGUACAGAGAUCCAUCCUGCAGCGCUGCUGUGGAGAAUCCACAAACCUGGGAUGGAUAGAAGUUCCCAUUCACACAGUUAUUCGGAUCCCCAGAGGCUUGCGGAGUGCCUGCCCAAGAGUCCCCACUGUGCUGGCGAUGAAUGGCACGGUGUGGCGAGGAGAACAAAGGAAGGCUGUGAAGCUCGGCUUGAGAAAAUGCUUUCCUGGGCACUCACCU
rnacentral:lncRNA from 1 species